UCCAACCACACAAACAAUCAUUCGCCCUUUUCCAUCCAUCAUAAAAUUUACAUAUAUUUACAAGCAGGUCAAAAAGAACACCAACCGAAUGUUGGGGUUGAACUUUGACACUCCGCAAAAAUUAGUUAAUUACAAAAACUCAUAUUUAAAAUUGUUUUUUUUUGUUCUACAAGAAUCAGAAGUACAUAUGUACAUUGUGAAUUCGUUCAAUUUUUACUAACGAGUUCAACAUUGUCCAAGUGCAACUCAAUUUGUCCCAGGUGCUUUAAUUUUUUAAGUGAAACCACCUCAUUUGUAGAUAUUCUAUUAAGUGCACACAUCUCCGAGGACCGAAUCCAGUCCGACACCCUCAAGAAUCACGGCAUCACUCAUGAUCCUGAAGUGAAGGUGAAAUAUGAGCACUCUACUUUCUUAGAUUUGUGGGAAAGUUACGAAAAACCGAAUUGCCUCAACUGCAUGGAAAAUUCACAUAACCGGGAGCGGAAGAAAUGUGACACUUGUCACCGAGUUUUUUUGCAACGCUGCCAGUUUGCGGAAGCACGUUGCAGCUUUCCAUAACACGAUGG